ACCUGGAUGGCUCAGUUGGUUGAGCAUCUGACUUCUGCUCAGGUCAUGAUCUUACAGUUUGGCUCAGGUCAUAAUUUCACAGUUUGCGAGUUUGAGCCCCGCUUUGGGCU
rnacentral:tRNA from 1 species